rnacentral:sRNA from 1 species
AUAUCUCUCUGUACGGGAAGGAUGAGAAGCUUCGACUAAGGUUCGAUUCGAGCGCAGCGAGAAAGCGUUGCCGCAGGCAACGACCCGAAGGGCGAAGCGCGCAGCGCUGAGUCAUCCUUCCCCCACUACCA